rnacentral:rRNA from 1 species
UCCUGACCGUGCAAAGGUAGCAUAAUCAUUUGCCUAUUAAUUGUAGGCUAGUAUGAAUGGACAAACGCGAACUAUACUGUCUCCUUUAGGAUAUUAAAAAUUUAUAUUUAAGUGAAGAAGCUUAAAUACACUCGCAGGACAAGAAGACCCUAUAGAGCUUUACCAUAAACCUUAUCAUAAAUAAGCUAAUUGGUUCGGUUGGGGCGACCAAGGAACAUCAAUCAUCCUUAAUUAUUAAGAUUAACCAAUCACAAAAAAGAUCCUCUAUGGAGAUCACAGAAUCAAGCUACCUUAGGGAUAACAGGCUAAUUCCUCUAGAGAGCCCUUAUUGACAGAGGAGGUUGGCACCUCGAUGUUGGCUUAGGAUAUCUUU